AUACAUCUAACUGUUUUUUGAACAGUCUGAACUUGGUAUGUUGGGAGCUAACAUCAAAGAACUAUUUUCCCCCAUUCACAUGAGGACUGUGUCAAAUCUGCCUCCUAUCACUUAAGGAGGUUUUGGGAAAAUCAUUCACUUUCGUUUCUAUCACUUCCAGUAACUUAACAGUACGGCUCAGAUGUAAAACUCCCCUUUUACUUGUUCCUGUCACUUCAGCCCAAGCUUGUCUCAUGAUCUAAAAAUCUGUAAUAGGGAAGAGGGUGUGGUCUGAUCUUUCCCCUUCUAUUUUACCUCAUCUAGUUCCAGAUUCUCAAAUCAUAUAGGGCCAGGAGGAGAGGACCAAAUUAUGUCUUAGUUACCUGGCUGCUGGUGGUUGUCUCUGUUUUUUGUAGAGCACAGGUGUAACGGCUUUCAGGGUGGGGGUGGGGAACUCUCCACUGAGUAGUGUGCUGAUGUGGGAGAUCUCUGGCUUGGCCUCUUCCGGCCCUCCUCCCACUCAGCUCCCACCAAUGAUGUAUCAAUAAAACCUCUUGCUGCUGGAGAUCUGCUUACCUGGUGGCCAGGGUGGCAAGACAAGUGAAGCCUGACUAUGCCUGCAGCAUCCACUGUGGAAACUACUACAUCUUUGCCAUGCCAAACACUUCUGCUUAAGCAUGCAGGUGAGAAGGGAAGAUACAUGUAAUCUGCAUGUCUGCCACCAUUCCUUGUUACCCUUUUUCAUAUCCCAUGAGCACAGCACUCCAGCGGACCUACCCAAAAUAUGUGGGAGUUCAGUGAAACUCAAACAGCAUGCUUCUGGUCAGCCUAUACAGUCUCUGUCCUGGUGAGGAGCAUGAUCACCAACAGGCAAGAUCUUCUGGCCUUGAAGUUUCGCUUGAGUUAAAAGAGCUCAUCUCAGGACUUUCUGAAUUUUCAGCCCAUAUGACAUGGAAGAAGAGUUAGAAGGGGAAUCUGACUGCUUGGAUCAGGGACUGUCUGGCUGGUGGAACUUGAAUGUAUACAACACUCUUCAUUUGCAUGUUUUGACAUUUUAAAAAAUGUUUUCACUUUCCUUAUCUACUUUGACUCUAAUAACAUCCUGAAAGGUGCUGUUGUCCUCUUUCUGGACCUUAGAGAUGUACAGUGCGCCACUCUGAGGAUCAAGUCUGACCCUGCCUUUAAAUUUGGAUUCAAAGUACUUAGAUUUUCUGGAAUCCCAUUCUACAAUCUUCUGGUCGAAAGUAUAAAACCAGUCUCUCAUUGCACCUUACGAGAAACACCCACAGGUGUGGAGGGGCAACCCACCCCUUCAUCUGGUGCCCAACGUGGAGGCUUUUCUCUGGGGUGAAGGUACACUCGAGCGUGGUCAUUGAGGACAAGUCGACAAGAGAUCCCGAGUACAUCUACAGUCAGCCUUACGGUAAGCUUGUGCACUCGGAAGAAGCUAGGGUGACAAUGGGGCAAACUAAAACUAAAAGUAAAUAUGCCUCUUAUCUUAGCUUCAUUAAAAUUCUUUUAAAAAGAGGGGGAGUUAGAGUAUCCACCAAAAAUCUAAUCAAGCUAUUUCAAACAACAGAACAAUUUUGCCCAUGGUUUCCAGAACAAGGAAAUUUAGAUCUAGAAGAUUGGAAAAGAAUUGGUAAGGAACUAAAACAAGCAGGUAGGAAGGGUAAUAUCAUUCCACUUACAGUAUGGAAUGAUUGGCCCAUUAUUAAAGCAGCUUUAGAACCAUUUCAAACAGAAGAUAGCGUUUCAGUUUCUGAUGCCCCUGGAAGCUGUAUAAUAGAUUGUAAUGAAAA
rnacentral:lncRNA from 1 species